UACGGGAGGGCAGCAGUGGGGAAUAUUGCACAAUGGGCGCAAGCCUGAUGCAGCCAUGCCGCGUGUAUGAAGAAGGCCUUCGGGUUGUAAAGUACUUUCAGUCGUGAGGAAGGUGUUAAGGUUAAUAACCUUAGCAAUUGACGUUAGCGACAGAAGAAGCACCGGCUAACUCCGUGCCAGCAGCCGCGGUAAUACGGAGGGUGCGAGCGUUAAUCGGAAUUACUGGGCGUAAAGGGCACGCAGGCGGUUAAUUAAGUUGGAUGUGAAAUCCCCGGGCUUAACCUGGGAAUGGCAUUCAAGCUGGUUAGCUAGAGUCUUGUAGAGGGGGUAGAAUUCCAUGUGUAGCGGUGAAAUGCGUAGAGAUGUGGAGGAAUACCGGGUGGCGAAGGCGGCCCCUGGGACAAAGACUGACGCUCAUGUGCGAAAGCGUGGGGAGCAAACAGGGAUUAGAUACC
rnacentral:rRNA from 1 species